UUCUCGAAGAGAAAACGCGUGAUUUUCACUUAAAUGGGGGAUUUCCGAAGAGAAAACGCGUGAUUUUCGCAUAAAUGGGGGAUUUGUGUAGAGAAAACGCGUGAUUUUCUCGUUAAAUGGAAGAUUCCUGAAGAGAAAAGGAGUGAUUUUUGCUUAAAUGGCGGAUUUGUGAAGAGAAAACGCGUGUUUUUCGCUUAAAUGAGGGAUUUGCAAAUUGAAAAUGUGCGAUUUUCGGGUUAAAUGGGGGAUUAGCGAAGAGAAAACGCGUGAUUUUCGCUUAAAUGGAGGACUUGCGAAGAGAAAACGCAUGUUUUUAGGGUGAAAUGGGGGAUUCUCGAAGAGAAAAUGCUUGGUUUUCUGGUUAAAUGGGGGAUUUGCGAAGAGAAAACGCGUGACUUUCGCUUAAAUGUGGGAUUUGAGAAAACGCGUGAUUUUCGCUUAAAUGUUGGAUUCUCAAAGAGAAAACGCGUGAUUUUCGGGUUAAAUGGGGGAUUUGCAAAAAGAAAACGCGAGAUUUUCGGGUGAAAUGGAAGAUUCCUGAAAAGAAAAUGCGUGUUUUUUGCUUGAACGGCGGAUUUGUGAAGAGAAAAUGCGUGUUUUUGCUUAAAUGGGGGAUUUGCGAAGAGAAAACGCUUGCUUUUCGGGUUAAAUGGGGGAUUCUCGAAGAGAAAACGCGUGGUUUUCGGGUUAAAUGUUGGAUUCUCGAAGAGAAAACGCGUGAUUUUCGCUUAAAUGUGGGAUUUCUGAAGAGAAAAUGCGUGUUUUUUUGUGUUAAUUGGGGGAUUUGCAAAGAGAAAAUGCGUGAUUUUCGCUUAAAUGGGGGAUUUGAGUAAAUACAUGAUAUUCGGGUUCAGUGGGGGAUUCUCGAAGAGAAAAUGCUUGGUUUUCUGGUUAAAUGGGGGAUUUGCGAAGAGAAAACGCGUGACUUUCGCUUAAAUGUGGGAUUUGAGAAAACGCGUGAUUUUCACUUAAAUGUUGGAUUCUCAAAGAGAAAACGUGAUUUACGCAUAAAUGUGUGAUUUGCGAAAAGAAAGCUCGUGUUUUUCGCAUAAAUGGGGGGUUUGUGAAGAGAAAACGCGUGAUUUUCAAGUUAAAUGGGGGAUUUGCGAAGAGAAAACGUGUGAUUUUCGCUUAAAUUGACGAUUCUCAAAGAGAAAACGUGUGAUUUUCGCUUAAAUGUGGGAUUUCUGAAGAGAAAACGCGUGUUUUUUUGUGUUAAAUGGGGGAUUCUCGAAGAGAAAACGCGUGAUUUUCGCUUAAAUGGGGGAUUUGAGAAGAGAAAACGUGAUUUUCGCUUAAAUGGGGUAUUCGCGAAAAGAAAACGGGUGAUUUUCGCUUAAAUGUGCGACUUGCAAAGAUAAAACGCGUCAUUUUCACGUUAAAUGGGGGAUUCUCGAAGAGAAAACGCGUGGUUUUCGGGUUAAAUGGGGGAUUCUCGAAUAGAAAACGCGUGGUUUUCGGGUUAAAUGGGGGAUUUGCGAAGAGAAAACGCGUGACUUUCGCUUAAAUGGGGGAUUCGCGAAAAGAAAACGCGUGAUUUUCGCUUAAAUGUGGGACUUGCAAAGAGAAAACGUGUCAUUUACACAUUAAAUGGAGGAUUCUCAAAGAGAAAAUGUGAUUUUCGCAUAAAUGUGGGAUUUGCGAAAAGAAAACGCGUGUUUUUCGCAUAAAUGGCAGAUUUGUGUAGAGAAAACACGUGAUUUUCUGGUUAAAUGGGGGAUUUGCGAAGAGAAAACGUGUGAUUUUCGCUUAAAUGGGGGAUUUGAGAAAACACGUGAUUUACGUUAAAUGUUGGUUUCUCGAAGAGAAAACGCGUGAUUUUCGCUUAAAUGGGGUAUUUGAGAAGAGAAAAUGCGUGAUCUUCACUUAAAUGGGGGAUUCUCAAAGAGAAAACGCUUGAUUUUCACUAAAAUUGACGAUUCUCAAAGAGAAAACGCGAGAUUUUCACUUAAUUGGGGUUUUUGCGAAGAGAAAACGCAUGUUUUUAGGGUGAAAUGGGGGAUUCUCGAAGAGAAAACGCAUGAUUUUUGCUUAAAUGGGGGAUUUGCAAAAAGAACACGUGAUUUUCGCAUAAAUGGGGGAUUUGUGAAGAGAAAACGCGUGAUUUUUGCUUAAAUGGGGGAUUCGCGAAGUGAAAAACUUGUGAGUUUCGGGUUGAAUGGAGGUUUCUCGAAGAGAAAACGUGUGAUAUUCGCUUAAAUGGGGGAUUCUCAAAGAGAAAACGCUUGUUAUUCACUUAAAUUGAUGAUUCUCAAAGAGAAAACGCGAGAUUUUCGCUUAAAUGGGGGUUUUGCGAAGAGAAAACGUGUGAUUUUCGCUUAAAUGUGGGAUUUCUGAAGAGAAAACGCGUGUUUUUUUGUGUUAAAUGGGGGAUUCUCGAAGAGAAAACGCGUGAUUUUCGCUUAAAUGGGGGAUUCGCGAAAAGAAAACGUGUGAUUUUCGCUUAAAUGGGGGAUUUGAGAAAACACGUGAUUUACGUUAAAUGUUGGUUUCUCGAAGAGAAAACGCGUGAUUUUCGCUUAAAUGGGGUAUUUGAGAAGAGAAAAUUCGUGAUCUUCACUUAAAUGGGGGAUUCUCAAAGAGAAAACGCUUGAUUUUCACUAAAAUUGACGAUUCUCAAAGAGAAAACGCGAGAUUUUCACAUAAUUGGAGGACUUGCGAAGGGAAAACGUGUGAUUUUCGCUUAAAUGUGGGAUUUCUGAAGAGAAAAUGCGUGUUUUUUUGUGUUAAUUGGGGGAUUUGCAAAGAGAAAAUGCGUGAUUUUCGCUUAAAUGGAAGAUUCCUGAAAAGAAAAUGCGUGUUUUUUGCUUAAACGGCGGAUUUGUGAAGAGAAAAUGCGUGUUUUUGCUUAAACGGCGGAUUUGUGAAGAGAAAAUGCGUGUUUUUGCUUAAAUGCGGGAUUUGCGAAGAGAAAACGCUUGAUUUUCGGGUUAAAUGGGGGAUUCUGGAAUAGAAAACGCGUGGUUUUCGGGUUAAAUGUUGGAUUCUCGAAGAGAAAACGCGUGGUUUUCGGGUUAAAUGGGGGAUUUGCAAAGAGAAAAUGCGUGAUUUUCGCUUAAAUUGGGGAUUUGAGUAAACACAUGAUAUUCGGGUUCAGUGGGGGAUUCUCGAAGAGAAAAUGCUUGGUUUUCUGGUUAAAUGGGGGAUUUGCGAAGAGAAAACGCGUGAUUUUUUCUUAAAUGCUGGAUUCUCGAAGAGAAAACGCGUGGUUUUCGCUUAAAUGGGGGACUUGCAAAGAGAAAACGUGUCAUUUACACGUUAAAUGGAGGAUUCUCGAAGAGAAAACGUGAUUUUUGCAUAAAUGUGUGAUUUGCGAAGAGAAAACGUGUGACUUUCGCUGAAAUGGGGGAUUUGAGAAAACGCGUGAUUUACGUUAAAUGUUGGUUUCUCGAAGAGAAAACGCGUGAUUUUCGCUUAAAUGGGGUAUUUGAGAAGAGAAAAUUCGUGAUCUUCACUUAAAUGGGGGAUUCUCAAAGAGAAAACGCUUGAUUUUCACUAAAAUUGACGAUUCUCAAAGAGAAAACGCGAGAUUUUCACAUAAUUGGAGGACUUGCGAAGGGAAAACGUGUGAUUUUCGCUUAAAUGUGGGAUUUCUGAAGAGAAAAUGCGUGUUUUUUUGUGUUAAUUGGGGGAUUUGCAAAGAGAAAAUGCGUGAUUUUCGCUUAAAUGGGGGAUUUGAGUAAA
ensembl:lncRNA